GCCGCGGUAAUUCCAGGGGGGCCAGCGUUAUUCGUCAUUAUUAGGCGUGAAGGGUACGUAGGCGGUCUUAUAAAUUUUAAAUGAAAUCUUAAAAUAAUAUUGAAAGUAUUUAAAAGAUUUAUAAACUUGAGUGAGGUGGAGGGUUUUAGAAUUCUUAAGGAGAAAGGUAAAAUUUGAUCAAUCUUAAGAGGAAUCCCAAAGUGCGAAAGCUAAUGCCUAUACCUACACUGACGCUGAGGUACGUAAGCAUGGGUAGCAAGCAGGAUUAGGGACCCUGUUAGUCCAUGCCGUAAACGAUGAAUGUUCAAUAUUGCAAUUUUAUUUGCAGUGUUCUAGUUAACACGUUAAACAUUCCGCCUGAGAAGUAUGAUCGCAAGAUUGAAACUUAAAAGAUUUGACGGGGAUUUGUCCGUACGGUGGAACAUGUCGUUUAAUGCGAUGAUCCGCGCAAAACCUUACCAGUUUUGGAAUAUAUAUUAAAACAAUUGUUAUUAUAUUGGGUAAAUUAAAUAUAUACAGGGUUGCAUGGCUGUCGUAAGGUUAUAUCGUGAGACAUUAGGUUUAUUCCUAAAAUAAGCGAGACCCUACUACUUUUAUAUGUUUUUAUAUAUUUAUAUAUUUUAUAACACAUAAAAGAGAUUGGUUGGUACUUUUUAGGCGGACCUAAAAAGUACCAAAUGAAAGUAUGGAUGACGCCAAGUCCUCAUGACCUUUACAAACUGGGCUACAGAUGUGUUACAAAGGAAAGUACAAUAAGAAGCAAUUUUGAAAUAUUGAGCAGAUCUUUAAAGCUUUUCGUAAUUUGGAUUAUCCUCUGCAAUAGAGGGUAUGAAGUCGGAAUCGUCAGUAAUCACGAAUCAUCAUGUCGUGGUGAAAAAGUAAUCAAAUUCAGUACAC
rnacentral:rRNA from 1 species